rnacentral:rRNA from 1 species
GACGAACCGAGCGAACGUUGUUCGGAAUCACUGGGCUUAAAGGGCGCGUAGGCGGCCUUCUAAGUCGAACGUGAAAUCCCUGGGCUCAACCCAGGAACUGCGUCCGAUACUGGGAGGCUUGAAUCCGGGAGAGGGAUGCGGAAUUCCAGGUGUAGCGGUGAAAUGCGUAGAUAUCUGGAGGAACACCGGUGGCGAAGGCGGCAUCCUGGACCGGCAUUGACGCUGAGGCGCGAAAGCCAGGGGAGCAAACGGG